rnacentral:rRNA from 1 species
GACGAACGCUGGCGGCGCGCUUAACACAUGCAAGUCGAGCGAGAACCGAGGCUUCGGCCUCGGGGACAGCGGCGAACGGGUGAGUAACACGUGGGUAAUCUGCCCUCGGCACCGGAAUAGCCCGGGGAAACCCGGAUUAAUGCCGGAUGGCCCGACCACCUCGCGAGGUGAUCGGGAAAGGUAGCUUAGGCCUCCGGCCGAGGAUGAGCCCGCGGCGGAUUAGCUUGUUGGUGGGGUAAUGGCCCACCAAGGCGACGAUCCGUAGCUGGUCUGAGAGGACGAUCAGCCACACUGGGACUGAGACACGGCCCAGACUCCUACGGGAGGCAGCAGUGGGGAAUCUUGCGCAAUGGGCGAAAGCCUGACGCAGCGACGCCGCGUGCGGGAAGAAGGCCUUCGGGUUGUAAACCGCUUUCAGGAGGGACGAAGCCACUCGGGUUAAUAGCCCAGAGGGUGACGGUACCUCCAGAAGAAGCCCCGGCUAACUACGUGCCAGCCGCCGCAGUAACAC